GGUCAGUCUCCAAGAGCCCUUAGUAACACAGGUAAAAACCUUUGUCCAUGAUGUCUGAUUCAGGCUAUAUACCACAAUUUAAAAAUAACACAUAAUGUGAGACAUAGAAGACACAAGCAGUAGUUAUUACACUGGAUCAUUUAAAAGGAACCUGUUGCAAUAAAAAGGUUAGUUUACAGUGCAAAAUAAAGCAUGUGUUGGACCGCUGAAAAUGUAAAUGUUGCUCUGUUAUUUUCAAACAAAAAUUAUAUUUACAUUAUGGAUCCUUUGCAACAAACACACAGGGCAGGGAAGAUGUGCUGAUUGGUGUUUCUAUACAAUUAAUCCCAUAUGGGGAAUUAACUUUCAAAUACUAAUGAAAUGACUUUUUGUCUCAGUUAUAAAAUAUACUGAGCUCAUCAUGCAAACAAUGCAACACAUUUACACUAUCCCACUCUCAUAAUAAGUGUAGUGGGCUUAUAGUAUUUUUAAAGCAACAAUCAUACCAGGCACACAGUUCCCAUGUGAAAUAACUUACAAUAAAAC